rnacentral:rRNA from 1 species
AUUGAACGCUGGCGGAAUGCUUUACACAUGCAAGUCGAGCGGCAGCACGGGGGCAACCCUGGUGGCGAGCGGCGAACGGGUGAGUAAUACAUCGGAACAUGCCCAGUCGUGGGGGAUAACACUUCGAAAGAAGUGCUAAUACCGCAUACGUCCUGAGGGAGAAAGCGGGGGAUCGCAAGACCUCGCGCGAUUGGAGUGGCCGAUGUCAGAUUAGCUAGUUGGUGGGGUAAAGGCCUACCAAGGCAACGAUCUGUAGCUGGUCUGAGAGGAUGAUCAGCCACACUGGGACUGAGACACGGCCCAGACUCCUACGGGAGGCAGCAGUGGGGAAUUUUGGACAAUGGGGGCAACCCUGAUCCAGCCAUUCCGCGUGAGUGAAGAAGGCCUUCGGGUUGUAAAGCUCUUUCGGCAGGAACGAAACGGUGAGCUCUAACAUAGCUUGCUAAUGACGGUACCUGAAGAAGAAGCACCGGCUAACUACGUG